rnacentral:rRNA from 1 species
UCCGUAGGCGGGCCUGUAAGUCAGGGGUGAAAGUUUGUGGCUCAACCAUAAAAUUGCCUUUGAUACUGCAGGUCUUGAGUCAUGGUGGGGUUGCCGGAACAUGUGGUGUAGCGGUGAAAUGCAUAGAUAUCACAUAGAACACCGAUCGCGAAGGCAGGUGACCAACCAUGUACGGACGCUGAUGGACGAAAGCGUGGGUAGCGAACG